rnacentral:tmRNA from 1 species
GGGGCUGAUCGGUUUCGACUGUGGACGUUGUAAUCCAGGAGAAGCGGGUAGAGGAGCCAACGUUAUCUCUCAAACGAUCGUUGGAAACUAAUAAGUGCCGACUCUAAGCGCACUGACUUCGCCCUCGCCGCCUGAGGCGACUUGCGAAGGGUAGACCCGGGGGCGUUCCCGCUCCGGACCAUCUGCCUUAUUUAGGGAACUUGCUGUAAUCGCCGUGUCGUGAGGUGAUUGCGGGACUUUUUCACGACUGAGCUUGUCGGUGACGUGUUCGUCAGAGCACCGGAGCUAAGAAAAGCGUUCGACGAACUGCACCCGGAGAAGUACUGGAUUAGCGCCGUAGGACCCGGGUUCGAUUCCCGGCAGCUCCACAA